AAAAAAAAAGAUAUAGACAGUUGUAUACUGGAACUGGCCUGUGCCAGCUAUUGAGAGCUGAUUGUCACUAUCUCUUAUCAAAUCUACAUUCAGUGAUGAUACAUUGAUUGAUUAAAAUUGGCCAUGGUUUACACUUUAGAAGUCAGAUACUCUAUGAAUCAGGGUUUUUAAUUUCUUUCAGAGACCUGGUGGUUAAACACCACUCUUCUGUUCAGGUUUUCUAUUUAUUUUUUGAGUGAGCUUGGUAAUUUGUAUCUUUCAAGAAAUUUGACCAUUUUAUCUACAUUAUUGCAUUUAUUGGCAUAAAGUUAUUCAUAAUACUACCAUACUGUCCCUUACGUUCUUAGAGGAUCUGUAAUAAUGACCCCUUUUCAUUCUUUUUUUUUUUAAAAAAAACAGUUUUAUUAAGUUGUUGUUCACAUGACAUAGAGUUCACCCAUUGAAAGUGUACAGUUCAGUGGCUUUUAGUAUAUUAAGAGAUAUGUGUAACCAUCACUACAAUCAAUUUUAGAACAUUUUCAUCACCUCAUAAAGAAAGUUUAUACCCUUUGGUUAAGACUCUCUACCCUCCAUCCUCCCCAACCCUAGCCAACCAUUAAUCUACUCCUUGUCUCUAUGGAAUUGCCUAUUCUCUGUAUUUCAUAUAAAUGGAAUCAUGCAAUAUAUGGUCUUUUGUGAUUGGCUUCUUUCACUUAGCAUAAUGUUUUCAAGGCCCAUCCAUAUUGUAGCAUGUAUCAAAACUUUAUUUUUAAUGACCAAAUAGUUUUCCAUCAUCUAAAUAUACCACAUUUUGUUUAUGCAUUCAUCAGUUGAUAGACAUUUAGAUUCUUUUCACCUUUUGGCUAUUAUGAAUAAUGCUGCUAUAAACAUUCAUGUAAGUUUUUGUGUGGACAUGUAUUUGUGGGUUUUUUUUCUCUUGGGUAUGUAACUAGGUCUGGAAUUGCUGGGUCAUAUGAUUACUCCGUGUUUAACAUUUUGAGGAACUGUCAUUUUACAUUUCCACCAGCAGCGUAUGAGGGUUUCCAUUUCUCCUCAUCCUCACCAAUACUUGUUAUUAUUUGGAUUGUUUAUUUCUGGUAAAUUACAAGUCUGAUGAAGUGCUCUGUGAGGGUAGAGCAUUAUAAGGGAUUAGUGCUCUUAUAAGGAGGCCUGAGGGAACUUAUUUGCCCCUUCUACCAUGUGAGUACACAGCUAGAAGGUGCUAUCUGUGAACCAGAGAUUCAGCCCUAAUCAGGCACCAAAUCUGCUGGCACCAUGUUCUUGAACUUCCAGCCUCCAGAGCUGUGAGAAAUAAAAUUCUGUUGUUUAUAAGCUACCCAGUGUAUGGUAUUUUGUUAUAGCAGCCUGAAUGGACUAAGACAGAGGUUGUUUUACUUCUUCCUUUCCAAUCUGGAUGUCUUUUCUUUCUUUUUUUUGGUCUAACCUCCGCGGCUAGAACCUCUAGUGCAAAGUUGAAUGGAAGUGGAGAGAACAGACAUUCUUGUCUUGUUCCUGAUCUUAAGGGGAAAGCAUCCAGUCUUUCAUCAUUAAGUAUGUUGUUAACUGUGUCUUUUUCAUAUAUACCCUUUGUCAGGUUAAGGAAUUUUGCUUGUAUUCCUCAUUUGUUGUGUGUUUUUAUCAUGAAAUGAUGUUGAAUUUUGUUGAACAUUUUUUUCUUCAUCUUUUGAGAUCAUCAUGUAGUUUUUGUGCUUUAUUCUAUUCAUAUGGUGUAUUACAUUGAUCGAUUUUUGAAUGUUAAAUCAACUUUGCAUUCCUGGGAUAAACCUCACUUGGUCAUAUUGUAUAAUUCUUUCUAUAUGAUGCUGGAUUUGUUUGAAAUAUUUUUUGAGGAUUUUUGCAUCCUCAAAAAAAUCUACAGCAUAAGAGAUAUUGCCUUGUAGUUUUCAUGUGGUGUCUUUGUAUAGUUUUGGUAACAGAGUAACACUGGCCUCAUAUAAUGAGUGGAGAAAUGUUCUCUCCUCUUCUUUUUUUGUAAAAGUUUGUGAAAAGCGAAUAUUAAUUUUUAUUUACAUGUUUGGUAGAAUUCACCAAUGAAGCCAUCUUGGCCUGGAUGUUCCUUCAUUGGUAGUUCAUUCUCUUUAUUUGUUAUAGGUCUAUUCAGAUUCUGUAUUUAUCCAGGAGUCAGUUUUGGUAGUGUCUUUCUAGGAAUCCAUUUAUUUAAUCUAAGUUAUGUAAUUUAUUGGCAUACAGUUAUUCAUAGUGUUCCUCCAUAAUCCUCUUAUUUCUGUAAAGUCAAUAGUAAUGUACCCUCUUUCGUUUUUGACUCUAGUUGUUUGAGUCUUCUCUUUUUUUUUCCAGGCUAAUCAAUUUAAAUGUUUGUUCAUUUUGUUGAUCCUUACAGAGAACCAGCUUUUGUUUUUAUUGACUUUUCCUAUUAUUUUUCUAUUCUUUAUUUUAUUAAUUUCCACUCUAGUUUUUAUUAUUCCCUUCCUUCUGCUUGCUUUAGGUUUAGUUUGCUCUUCUUUUUCAGUGUCUUAAGGUGGAAGGUUAGGUUAUUGAUAUGAGAUCUUUCUUCCUUUUUUUUCUUGAAGAUAGAGCCUUGUUACGUUACCCAGGCUGGUCUCAAACUCCUGGGCUCAGGUUAUCCUCUCACCUCAGCCUCCCAAGUAGCUGGGACUACUGACACAUGUCACUGUGCCCAGCCUUCUUUUUUACUGUAGGCAUUUACAGCUAUAAAUGUCUUUCUAAGCAUUGGUUUAGACGCAUGCUGUAAGGUUUGGUAUUUUGUAUCUUCAUUUUCAUUAGUCUUAACAUAUUUUCUAAUUUUCCUCUUUAUUUUAUCUUUGAUCCGUUAGUGAUUUAGGAGUGUGUUGUUUAAUUUCCACAUAUUUGUGAGUUUCCCAAAUUUAUUUCUGUUAUUGUUUUUUACUUUCAUUCUAUGCUAGGGGAAAUACUUAGAAUUAUCUCUAAUCUUUCAAAUUUAUUGUGGUUUGUUUUAUUGCCUAGCAUAUGGUCUAUUCUGGAGUAUGUCCCAUGUGCAUUUGAGAAGAAUGUAUAUUCUUUUGUUGGGUGGAAUGUUCCAUAUAUGUCUGUUUGGUCUAGUUGGUUUAUAGUGUUGUUCAAGUCUUCUAUUUCCUUGUUGAUCUUCUGCCUAGUUCUUCUAUCCAUUAUUAAAAGUUGAAAGUCCCCAACUAUCCCAACUAUUAUUGUUGAGUGGUCUAUUUAUCUCUUCAUUUCUGUAAAUUGCUUCAGGUAUUCUGGUGUGGUUUUUUUCCUUUGUUUUUGUUUUGUUUUGUUUUUUCUUUAGACAGAGUUUUGCUUUUAUUGCACAGGCUGGAGUGUAACAGCACAAUCUUGGCUCACUGCAACCUCCACCUCCCAGGUUCAAGUGAUUCUCCUCCCUCAGCCUCCCAAGUAGCUGGGAUUACAGGUGUGUGCCACCACACUCGGCUAAUUUUUGUAUUUUUAGUAGAGAUGGGGUUUCACCAUGUUGGUCAGGCUGGUCUCAAACUCCUGACCUCAGGUGAUCCACCCACCUCGGCCUCCCAAAGUGCUGGAAUUACAGGUGUGAGCCACUGUGCCCAGCCCUCUGGUGCUCUUUUGUUAGGUGCAUAUAUGUUUAUAAUUGUUAUAUCUGCCUGAUGGAUUAACCCUUUUAUCAUUAUACAAUGUCCUUCUUUAUCUCUACUAACACUUUUUUUUUUCUUAAACUCUGUUUUGUCUAAUAUUACUGUGGCCACUCCAGAAAGCUGGCUAUAGUAAAAUCAGACAAAAUGAUGUAUCUUUUUUCAUCCUUUUACUUUCAGUCUAUUGUAUCUUUGAAUCUGAAGUUUGUCUGCUAUAGACAGCAAAUGGUUUGAUCUUGGUUUUUUAAUUUCCAUUUUAACAACUGUCUUUUAUUGGAUAGUUUAACCCAUUCAGACUUAAUGUUAUUAUUGAUUUAGUUGGAUUUAUACCUGCCAUUUUACUUUUUGUUUUCUGUAGGUCUCCUGUCUUCCUCGAAUCUUCCUUUACCACUUUCUUUUGCAUUAACUGAAUAUUCUCUAAUAUAGCGUUUUAAUUUUUAAAAUGAUUUUUAAACCAUAUUUUUUAGUUAUUUCCUUAGUGGUUGCUCUAGACUUACCAUAUACAUAUUAGCUUAUCAGAAUCAGCUUCAGAUUUAUACUAACUUAAUUCCAGUGAGAUAUAGAAAUGUUAUUUCUAUAUCAUUCUAUUUCCUUCUCCAUUUUUGUCAUAUUAUUGUUAUGUAUGUUACAACUAUACAUCUGACAAACUCAACAAUACAUUAUUAUAAUUAUUGCUUUAUAUGAACUUAUGUAUUUUAAAGAAGCUGAGAGAAGAGAGGAGAACGAGUAUAUGUUAAUAGGUUUUGACCUUCUUAGAUAUCAUUUUUAGAUCUCUUCAGUUGGUUCCUAUGGAUUUCUUGUUGGGAGUAAUUCCUUUGCUAAUGUAAUACUUAAUGGUGUUCCACAUUUCUCUGAGGCACUGUACAUUUGUAUUUAGUCUUUUCUUCUCUUGGUUAUUCAGAUUGCAUAAUUUCUAUCAAUUUACCUUCAAGUUUACUGAUUCUUUUGGCAGUUCAAGUGUAAUACUGAAUUUUUCAUUUUAGUUAUUGUACUUUUGAAUCCCAGAAUUUCAAUUUGUUUUAAAAAUAAUUUCUAUGUCUUUGAUAUUUUAUAUUUGAUGCAACAUCAUCAUAUCUUUCUUUACUUCUUUAAUCAUGGUUUCUUGUAGUUCUGUGAACAUAUUAAUAAUAGCUACUUUGAAGUCUUUGUUCAAACUGACAUCUGGCCACUCUCACAAGGAGCUCCUAGUGUCUGCCUUUUUCUGGUAUAUGGGUUAUACUUUCCUGUUUCCCUGCAAAUCUCAUAAUUUUUUGUUGAAAACUGAGCAUUUUGGAUAAUAUAUUGUAGCACCUCUGGGUACUAUUUUCCUCUUCCCCAUCUGGAGCUUUUUACUGAUAUUUGCAUAUUUAUUUAUUUAGUGAUUAGCUAGAUUAUUUUAGUAAACUCUGUGCUUGCACAAUGUGAAGCCUGUUAUGUUGCUCACCAGAAGGCUCAGCCUUGGUUGUGCCCACAGUCACCUUUGGCAGGGCUUUCCUUGACUGUUUUUUUCCCUGACCAUACCCAGCUGUUUAGCUCCACUAAUUACCUGCUGAUUGCCCUAUUGUUUUCAACAAUGCCCUGGGGCAUAAAUGAUUCCACAGACAGAUUUGUUCUAAUCCCAGUGGGUCUCCUCCCAGCUUUCUCUGUCCCAGGUUGUCUCCAGCAAACUAGUGGGCCUACAGCUUAGUCUGCAUCUCCAAUGAAUCUACCAAUGUCCUCUCAAUUGCCUUUCACCACGUGUGGUGUUUUCUGGCACUAUUUCUGACAUCAAAUGUGUGGUGUUUUCUAACACCUACCAAUUCUCUGAUUCUCUGGCACCAACUGGGUGUCCUACAAUUCAAUUUAAUUCUGAUAUUAAUUCCUCAGAGUUAGUGCAGACCCUACAGUUUAAGGGCUUUUAAGUAUAAGACUGCCCUCCACUUCAGAUGGCAGCUGCAAAUGGGGUGCCCAACCUACCCACACUUCAGCCUGGGCUAGUACAAAUUUGAGGGUUCUGUAAACCAAAAAGUGACUGAGGCAGAUCUCAAUUGAUUAGAGGUUUAUUUUGCCAAGGUUGAGG
rnacentral:lncRNA from 10 species